rnacentral:lncRNA from 1 species
GUAAUUCAUGUUCUUCCUUCCCACACUUGAUAAUUUGCUGCUGUAUUUUCCCCCUGUGCUGUGGAUUAAGUCAUGUUUCCUCCAUAACAUUUUACGAAUGCCCUACCAUAUUUUGGGAUGUACCUGUAGCUAUCAAGACAGAGUAAUCUGAACCUAAGUGAACCUAAGUUUUUGCUAAACAACCUGUGUGAUGAGGAAUCUAGAGACACUGAUGUUUUUUCACGUGCAAUAUAAUAACUUUCUUGCUUCUCUCAGUGUUAGUAAUCUCUUAGGAAUGUCUGUAGAAUAACAUCUAGUCCUUUCCCACUUGCUCAUUUGGUUUCCUUAUCCCCACAGCCAGGUGUGUAAGAAUAGAAACUCCCCUCCUUCACAAGUAGCAGAAUGAAAGAAGUUCACAAAUUUUCUAAAUUCAGUUAUUUCAUGCAGAUGGUCUUCCCGGUUUUUGCACAGAAGAAGAUGAGACGAAUACGCUGAUGGAGAAGGCUGAAGGAGAAAGAUGCUAAGUAAAUGAUACUUCUGAAAACCAAACCAGACUCUGGAGAAAGACAAGAAUGAAACUGGAGAAAACAACUGGAAGUUUGUUUUGGGGAGGAAUCUGUCAAUCAGUAUGACAUCCAAACAAAGAAGAGUUACUACAUGGAAGAUAAGCGGAGAAAAGCAGACUACCAGUGUUCUGAUAUGCAUCUAUACAAUGAAGUGGAUGUAUUCUGAAGUCUGUGAAACUGAACACACCAAUAAGUGCAGAAGUCCUGCUUUUGGAAGAAAACAUUAACUGUGCAAUACAGAAAUGCCCAAAAGUGUGGUGAAUUGAGAAGAAUUGUUGCCACAAUCCUUAAAGGAAAUGGAGAGCGGAGAGAGGAUUCUCUAAUAUUUCUCUUAAAAGCUGCAGCAAAACAUUGUUUGAAUUCAGCAAGUGCAACAGCAGACCUGCAAACAGUACCUGGAUGGUUUACUUUUUUUCACUUCUGGGUAAUAAAUCUUCUGCUUCCCUUUUACA